AAUCAACGCUGGCGGCGUGCCUAACACAUGCAAGUCGAACGAGAAAGUGGAGCAAUCCAUGAGUAAAGUGGCGACCGGGUGAGUAACACGUGACUAACCUACCCUCGAGUGUGGAAUAACAUCGGGAAACCGAUGCUAAUACCGCAUAACAUCGCAAGAUCAAAGGAGCAAUCCGCUUGAGGAGGGGGUCGCGGCUGAUUAGCUAGUUGGCGGGGUAACGGCCCACCAAGGCGAAGAUCGGUAGCCGGCCUGAGAGGGCGCACGGCCACACUGGAACUGAAACACGGUCCAGACUCCUACGGGAGGCAGCAGUGGGGAAUUUUGCGCAAUGGGGGAAACCCUGACGCAGCAACGCCGCGUGGAGGAUGAAGCCCCUUGGGGCGUAAACUCCUUUCGACCAAGACGAUAAUGACGGUACUGGCGGAAGAAGCACCGGCUAACUCUGUGCCAGCAGCCGCGGUAAUACAGAGGGUGCAAGCGUUGUUCGGAAUUAUUGGGCGUAAAGGGCGCGUAGGCGGCGCGACAAGUCACCUGUGAAAUCCCCGGGCUUAACUCGGGGCCUGCAGGCGAAACUGUCG
rnacentral:rRNA from 1 species